UGUGCACUUUGGCGUAACUAUGGGGUCUGUAGGUGGUUUUGAACAAUUCUGGGGUCCAAACAGAAUCGGCGUCUUCCCGAACGCGAAGUCUGUCGCACCGCUAUUCUCACCCGCCGUUGUCACCAGCGAAUUAUCUGCAACUUCCACCGAGUAAUUUUCAUGUUACAUCUGUUCUAUGGUGGUAAAGUGAAAGAAACUUCAGAAUGAAUUUCGAACUUGGAUAUUAAUUUGUUAUGAUAAAUGAAGAUAUGUCAGAUUCAACGAGGCGGCGAUAAUGGAUGAAGCUCUUUCAUCUGAUAAUAGGACGCAGGUUUUCUGAACUAACGAUGAUCUCUUAUACUUGCAAUCAUCAAUUUAGAUCUUCUUAUGUACUAUACAUAUUUGUUUUUUCGCUAGGCUAUUCUCUCUAGAAAGUGAUAAAGCUUCAACGAAACUGGUACUAAUUGAUCUUGAAGACGAGGAUGAAAGUUUUUCCUCAAUUGUUCUUCUAGAUAAGCACAUACAAAGGAAUGCACAUCGAUUUUGCAUCUUCUCCAAAAUUGUCCUAGUACUUAUUUAUGAGGAUUUCGGAAUAUGUAGUAAUGUAGAUAGGAUAUUGAUCUUGCAAACACUUAGCUGAAAAAUGUGUAUUAACAGCUGUUAGUUGAUUCACAUUGCUCAAUUAGGGCGAUUAUGUGGAAUGAAGUUUUGGACAUUCGGUACUUGUAUAUUCUCAGUCUGAAAUUUGAAAUGAGUGUUACGCUUAGCUAGCUGCUUGCCAUCAUAUAAGGUUCAACAAUUUACUUUACUAUGAAUUUUUCUUUUUUAUCAUCUCUUAUGACUUUAGCUUUCAAUUGAUUGAACUUCUCUUAGAGCAUAUCAGAAGAAACAUCACAAUGCAAAUAACGGAGAACACAUCAAGUUAAGGUACUAGAGAGUAAAAGAGCUCCCAAAACCUUCCUGGAGCUAUUGCAUGAGUGUAGAAUUUCCCUGGCUUCUAGAUGCUAUCUAUCUCAAUUCAGUGAGAUUGUUUAACUAACCUCUCUCCAUAUUAUAAAUGGGGAAAACGCACACAUGUAUUCCUUCCCACCAAAUGUACCAACCUCUUCAUCAAGAGCAGCAGAAGGACCUCCAAACUCCAACUGAUCCCCGCUGUCAUUUUGCAGAGUUUGUGAUUUCUCAUCUAAAUUUACAUGUAUGCUAUGUGGGAUGUGUUUCUGUGCGAUCUGAUUCCAAACCAUCCACAAUGAUACCCGCUUCAUAAUAUUUGUUGCUUGAUUUGUUAAGAGGUGCAAGCGAAUUGAAUGGGUGGUCAGUCCUGUCUUUACUCGUUGAUAUCUUGUACUUGAGCAUUAUUUAGUUGCUUGUCCAUGCCCCUUCUGUACAUACAAUAGUUGAUAUAGUCGUACCAAUCUGACUUGAAUUGUAAAUUUGUAGAUUCCAGCCCUUUUCUCGAGCACCUGUUGUCGUAUAAUGUUUAUUUCACAUCUUACUAAAUCUGAUAUUGGAUUUUUCAGUUCUAACAGACUCUUCAACAAAUUAGUUGACAAUGAAAUGAUCUUUUUCUCACCUUGUAAUUUCCCAUUGUUGUGCCUUCGCCUCAAAUUGCAACUGUUUCCACGUGGUAUCAUACAGAGGGCAUCUUUUACAGUAUGUAAUAUUUUCUUUCUUGAGAAACAAACCUCCCACACCCUGUUGUAUAGAGUUUCACCACUUUUGGCCAAUUUUCACUGUUCUUAGGUGAGGUGUUUUUAAAAUACACUAGGCAUGCUAUUCAUAAUCAGCUUAAGAUGAUACUUCGAGGAAGUCUAGGAAAAUUUCUUUCACAUGGAUGUUCUCAUCAGUGUCCUAUUGACUAGAAACAGAAACAGAAACUUUGCAAUUUGGCUUGGUAAGUUAAAGCUUCUACAUUUGUUUGCAGUCAUUACAAGAUGGAUAUGCCAGCUUAAGUGAUCCAGGCUUAUAUAGAGACUCUCUUUGCUUUAAGAUUACUGCUAUCCUCUAAUCAUGAUCUUUGUCAUCUUUUUACAGUUGUGUUAAUAUGCAUUUUUCUUGUAUUGCACUCUCUCUUUUUCUCAGCAUGUUAACAAUGUUCGAAUAUAACCAUAGAAAUUCGACGGAAAAUGAGGGAACAUUUUUAUGCCUGUUUACAGUAGCACUUGGAGAAGAUUCUUAGGGUUCUCCAUUGUUAAGAAGAUAACCAUUGGCUAUUGGCUGCUGAUGGAAGAAGGCGAAAGUAAAAUGUGAAAGCAUAUGGACAUUUGGGAUUUUACAUGUCUCAAAGCCACGAUGCUCUGACGUGGGAAAAACAAUUCAAUUUCUACAUAAGAAAGUGUCCCUCUAACAAGGGAUAGAGAGAGUGUACCACACAACAAACCACCUUGAGAAGUUAAAGAUAUGAUGUAAUGUAAGCAUCAAAUAUAAAGUAUGAUGAAGCACAUGGUGCAACCUCCUCUCAACUUUGGGAUUUUAUUUUCCAAGUAUGGUGGCAUGUAAGAUAUUGUACGUAUAAAAUGAAAUUUUUCUUACGCACAGAUAAAUGGAGUUAUCUUUC